UCCUCCACUACAGGUGUAUUGCAGGUAUGGACUCUGUGUCACUUGCGUGCCAGUAGGAGGCAGAGAGGACAAAGGAUGUGACAAUGCUCAGUGCUCUGACCAACACUUAAAUAGAUUAGAAGCCUAACACU